UACGUAGGGGGCAAGCGUUGUCCGGAUUUAUUGGGCGUAAAGAGCGUGUAGGCGGCCAAGCAGGUCCGCUGUGAAAACUCGAGGCUCAACCUCGAGACGUCGGUGGAAACCGUUUGGCUAGAGUCCGGAAGAGGAGAGUGGAAUUCCCGGUGUAGCGGUGAAAUGCGCAGAUAUCGGGAAGAACACCCGUGGCGAAGGCGGCUCUCUGGGACGGUACUGACGCUGGGACGCGAAAGCGUGGGGAGCGAACAGG
rnacentral:rRNA from 1 species